GCAGCUUGCUGCUUUGCUGACGAGUGGCGGACGGGUGAGUAAUGUCUGGGAAACUGCCCGAUGGAGGGGGAUAACUACUGGAAACGGUAGCUAAUACCGCAUAACGUCGCAAGACCAAAGAGGGGGACCUUAGGGCCUCUUGCCAUCGGAUGUGCCCAGAUGGGAUUAGCUAGUAGGUGGGGUAAAGGCUCACCUAGGCGACGAUCCCUAGCUGGUCUGAGAGGAUGACCAGCCACACUGGAACUGAGACACGGUCCAGACUCCUACGGGAGGCAGCAGUGGGGAAUAUUGCACAAUGGGCGCAAGCCUGAUGCAGCCAUGCCGCGUGUAUGAAGAAGGCCUUCGGGUUG
rnacentral:rRNA from 1 species